UACGAAGGGGGCUAGCGUUGUUCGGAAUUACUGGGCGUAAAGGGCGCGUAGGCGGUGUGUCAAGUCAGGCGUGAAAGCCCCGGGCUCAACCUGGGAACCGCGCUUUGAGACUGGCACGCUCGAGUUCGGGAGAGGAUGGUGGAAUUCCCAGUGUAGAGGUGAAAUUCGUAGAUAUUGGGAAGAACACCGAUGGCGAAGGCAGCCAUCUGGACCGACACUGACGCUCAU
rnacentral:rRNA from 1 species